rnacentral:rRNA from 1 species
UACGAAGGGGGCUAGCGUUGUUCGGAUUUACUGGGCGUAAAGCGCACGUAGGCGGAUUGUUAAGUCGGGGGUGAAAUCCCAGGGCUCAACCCUGGAACUGCCUUCGAUACUGGCAAUCUCGAGUCCGGAAGAGGUGAGUGGAACUCCUAGUGUAGAGGUGGAAUUCGUAGAUAUUAGGAAGAACACCAGUGGCGAAGGCGGCUCACUGGUCCGGUACUGACGCUGAGGUGCGAAAGCGUGGGGAGCAAACAGGG